rnacentral:rRNA from 1 species
GAUGAACGCUAGCUACAGGCUUAACACAUGCAAGUCGAGGGGAAACGAUGAGAGAGCUUGCUCUCUUAGUCGUCGACCGGCGCACGGGUGAGUAACGCGUAUCCAACCUGCCUCUGACCAAGGGAUAACCCGUCGAAAGUCGGACUAAUACCUUAUGCAGUCGUCGGAAGUCAUCUGAUGACGACGAAAGAUUUCAUCGGUGAGAGAUGGGGAUGCGUCUGAUUAGCUUGUUGGCGGGGUAACGGCCCACCAAGGCGACGAUCAGUAGGGGUUCUGAGAGGAAGGUCCCCCACAUUGGAACUGAGACACGGUCCAAACUCCUACGGGAGGCAGCAGUGAGGAAGAUUGGUCAAUGGGCGUAAGCCUGAACCAGCCAAGUAGCGUGCAGGAUGACGGCCCUAUGGGUUGUAAACUGCUUUUAUGCGGGGAUAAAGUGAGGGACGUGUCCUUCAUUGCAGGUACCGCAUGAAUAAGGACCGGCUAAUUCCGUG